rnacentral:rRNA from 1 species
CACUAACGAAUAAGGGGUGGGCAAGUUCUGGUGUCAGCCGCCGCGGUAAUACCAGCACCUCGAGUGGUCAGGAGGUUUAUUGGGCCUAGAGCAUCCGUAGCCGGCUGUUCAAGUUUCCGGUUAAAUCCACACGCUUAACGUAUGGGCUGCCGGAAAUACUGUUCAGCUAGGGAGUGGGAGAGGUAGACGGUACUCGAUAGGUAGGGGUAAAAUCCUUUGAUCUAUUGAUGACCACCUGUGGCGAAGGCGGUCUACCAGAACACGUUCGACGGUGAGGGAUGAAAGCUGGGGGAGCAAACCGGAUUAGAUACCCGGGUAGUCCCAGCUGUAAACUAUGCAAACUCAGUGAUGCAUUGGCUUAUGGCCAAUGCAGUGCUGCAGGGAAGCCGUUAAGUUUGCCGCCUGGGAAGUACGUACGCAAGUAUGAAACUUAAAGGAAUUGGCGGGGGAGCACCACAAGGGGUGAAGCCUGCGGUUCAAUUGGAGUCAACGCCAGAAAUCUUACCCGGAGAGACAGCAGAAUGAAGGUCAAGCUGAAGACUUUACCAGACAAGCUGAGAGGUGGUGCAUGGCCGUCGCCAGCUCGUGCCGUGAGAUGUCCUGUUAAGUCAGGUAACGAGCGAGAUCCCUGCCUCUAGUUGCCACC